UACGAAGGGGGCUAGCGUUGUUCGGAAUUACUGGGCGUAAAGCGCACGCAGGCGGCUUGAUAAGUCGGGGGUGAAAUCCCGGGGCUCAACCUCGGAAUUGCCUUCGAUACUGUUAGUCUUGAGUCCGGGAGAGGUGAGUGGAAUUCCUAGUGUAGAGGUGAAAUUCGUAGAUAUUAGGAAGAACACCAGUGGCGAAGGCGGCUCCCUGGCCCGGUACUGACGCUCAUGUGCGAAAGCGUGGGGAGCAAACCGG
rnacentral:rRNA from 1 species